rnacentral:rRNA from 1 species
UACAUGGGGUGCAAACGUUGCUCGGAAUUAUUGGGCGUAAAGCGCGCGUAGGCGGUUACUCAAGUCGGAUGUGAAAGCCCUCGGCUUAACUGAGGAAGUGCACCCGAAACUGAGUAGCUAGAGUACUAAAGAGGGUCGCGGAAUUCACGGUGUAGCAGUGAAAUGCGUAGAUAUCGUGAGGAAGACCAGUGGCGAAGGCGAAUCUCUGGACAGUAACUGACGCUGAGGCACGAAGGCUAGGGGAGCAAACAGG